UACAGAGGGUGCGAGCGUUGUUCGGAAUUACUGGGCGUAAAGCGCGCGCAGGCGGCCCUUUAAGUCUACCCGUGAAAUGCCGGAGCUCAACUCCGUGCACGCCGGGGGAUACUGGGGGGCUGGAGACAUGUAGAGGCAAGCGGAAUUCCGGGUGUAGCGGUGGAAUGCGUAGAGAUCCGGAAGAACACCUGAGGCGAAGGCGGCUUGCUGGGCAUGAUCUGACGCUGAGGCGCGAAAGCGUGGGGAGCAAACAGG
rnacentral:rRNA from 1 species